rnacentral:rRNA from 1 species
GAUGAACGCUGGCGGCGUGCCUAAUACAUGCAAGUCGAGCGAACAGACGAGGCUCUUGCUCCUCUGACGUUAGCGGCGGACGGGUGAGUAACACGUGGAUAACCUACCUAUAAGACUGGGAUAACUUCGGGAAACCGGAUCUAAUACCGGAUAAUAUAUUGAACCGCAUGGUUCAAUAGUGAAAGCCGUUUUUGCUGUCACUUAUUGAUGGAUCCGCGCCGCAUUAGCUAGUUGGUAAGGUAACGGCUUACCAAGGCGACGAUGCGUAGCCGACCUGAGAGGAUGAUCGGCCACACUGGAACUGAGACACGGUCCAGACUCCUACGGGAGGCAGCAGUAGGGAAUCUUCCGCAAUGGGCGAAAGCCUGACGGAGCAACGCCGCGUGAGUGAUGAAGGUCUUCGGAUCGUAAAACUCUGUUAUUAGGGAAGAACAAAUGUGUAAGUAAAUAUGCACGUCUUGACGGUACCUAAUCAGAAAGCCACGGCUAACUACGUG